rnacentral:misc_RNA from 1 species
GAUGAAGAACGCAGCGAAAUGCGAUAAGUAAUGUGAAUUGCAGAAUUCAGCGAAUCAUCGAAUCUUUGAACGCACAUUGCGCCCGUCAGUAUUCUGGCGGGCAUGCCUGUUCGAGCGUCAUUACGCCCCUCAAGUCCCCUGUGGACUUGGUGUUGGGGAUCGGCGAGGCUGGUUUUCCAGCACAGCCGUCCCUUAAAUUAAUUGGCGGUCUCGCCGUGGCCCUCCUCUGCGCAGUAGUAAAACACUCGCAACAGGAGCCCGGCGCGGUCCACUGCCGUAAAACCCCCCAACUUUUUAUAGUUGACCUCGAAUCAGGUAGGACUACCCGCUGAACUUAAGCAUAUCAAUAAGCGGAGGA